UGGACUAAAGUGCUGAACCUGUAAGCCAGCC
rnacentral:piRNA from 1 species